CUUCUAGGAGCAGCUAACAAGAAUCCUAAUACAGGAGUGUUUAUGGUUGGGUUGAGACACAUUCAGGAGCUGAGUGAUUGACAGCAAGAGGAGCAAGACAUGAGGUUAAUAAUUAUCAAAUAUAUGGCAAUGCUGGACUUUAGCUGACCAUCGUGCUUCUGGAAAACAACAAAAACUGAGAUAUCUGUUCACCAUUUUGUGCGUCCAAGGACCACCUACUUUUUACAUGUGACAAGAACUACCCACCUCCACUCUUCAGGAUAGAACAUGCUGAAGAAAAGAGUUGCAAUGAGAAAAUAUAUGGGAACAAAAUACCUAUGCAAUGCAGAAGUCUGCAUAACUGAACCACUCAGAGGAGAAAAGUUGUUGCUGGCAGAUCUAAACAGGUCAUUGAAACUCUACCAACAGAAGACACCUCGAAGCUUGAGUCUGGUUUUACUUGGACCUUGUCCCACAGACCUCUUCCUUUUGCUGAUUGUAAUCUGUAUUCUUUCACUCUUAAAAAUAUUGCCAUUUCAGGACACUUCCUACAUCUGAGGAAAUAUGCAUUCAUCUUGCAGUACUUUUCUCCUCCAAAUAAAAGUCAGUAUGAUAACAA